rnacentral:rRNA from 1 species
GACGAACGCUGGCGGCGUGCCUAAUACAUGCAAGUAGAACGCUGAAGGAGGAGCUUGCUUCUCUGGAUGAGUUGCGAACGGGUGAGUAACGCGUAGGUAACCUGCCUGGUAGCGGGGGAUAACUAUUGGAAACGAUAGCUAAUACCGCAUAAGAGUAGAUGUUGCAUGACAUUUACUUAAAAGGUGCAAUUGCAUCACUACCAGAUGGACGUGCGUUGUAUUAGCUAGUUGGUGAGGUAACGGCUCACCAAGGCAACGAUACAUAGCCGACCUGAGAGGGUGAACGGCCAAACUGGGACUGAGACACGGCCCAGACUCCUACGGGAGGCAGCAGGAGGGAAUCUUCGGCAAUGGACGGAAGGCUGACCGAGCAACGCCGCGUGAGUGAAGAAGGUUUUCGGAUCGUAAAGCUCUGUUGUAAGAGAAGAACGAGUGUGAGAGUGGAAAGUUCACACUGUGACGGUAUCUUACCAGAAAGGGACGGCUAACUACGUG